UACGUAGGGUCCAAGCGUUAUCCGGAAUCACUGGGCGUAAAGCGUGCGUAGGCGGCGUGUUAAGUGUGGUGUUAACUCGUGUGGCUCAACCAUAUCGAUGCAUCGCAUACUGGCACACUAGAGGAAGGCAGAGGCAAGUGGAAUUGGUAGUGUAGCAGUGAAAUGCGUAGAUAUUACCAGGAACACCAAUGGCGAAGGCAGCUUGCUGGGCCUUUUCUGACGCUGAGGUACGAAAGCGUGGGGAGCGAACAGG
rnacentral:rRNA from 1 species